rnacentral:lncRNA from 1 species
GCGUGCCUACUUGAAAUACUACUUAAUCUUAAGUAAAAUUUAAUUAAGCGAGUAGUUAGUUUAACAAAAAUAAUUAUUUAAAUUUAUUAAUAAUAACAAAUAAAUUAAAAAUAAUAAUAAUAAUAAUAAAUUAAUAAUAAUAAUAAUAAUAAUACCCUAAACUAACUAUAUAAUUUCUAAUUUUGAUAAAAUCCCCAAAUUUAUAUGUAUAUUUCUUAAUUAAUAUAAAACUUAAAUACUAUAAAACCAAAAUAGUCAACUUAGUAACUUUUUAAGUUCAGCAAUAAAUCAAAAAGAGAAGGUGUCUUCGCCGGGGUUCGAAAUUCUCUGGAGAAAGGGGUCAUCGGCGACGGGAAAGGGAUGGCAGCCAUGGAGCUUCGCCGGAUUUGGUGUUUUCCGGUUUUAAUGGGUUUUCCUGCAUGGGUUGGUCGGAGUUUGAGAAAAAUGACAGUAGAAGAGGGUGGAUCUCUGGUUUGAGGUGGUUACCAGCGGAAUCACGUGGUUUUGGGGAAGGGGAUCGCCGGUGGUUCAUGGCGCGGUUGAAGGCUUGCCGGCGAAGCACCGAGCAGUCAAAACCGGCCAGAUCUGGAUGGAGUAAGGCGGUUGUUCGCCGGAGUUGUGCCAGCAGAUUGGUUUUCCGGUAUGGGAGUAGCCAAUUUCGGUGAAGGAUGGCCGACUCCGGUGAAAAAUUCAUCGGACAACUCAAAAUCUACUGUUAACUAUUUUUCUAUUUCUUCGUUUUUUACUGCUUCCCCUUUUCCGCGUCUUUCUCUGUCUUCUCUCCUAUUCUUCUUUUUCUCUCUCUCGAUUCCCUCCUUUUCUACUAUUUUUCCUAUUUCACUGUGUAUCCAUGGUGUUUGUGAGUUUCUGUUGUGUGUGCGCAGUGUAUGUAUAUCAGUGUAGUGUGAAAAAGAAUGGAGUGUUUCUGGGUGGUAUAUUGUUGUGUGUGCUUUAUAGUGAGUGGGUGGAUAUCUGUGUACGUGAAUUGUGAUGUCUAUUUUUCCUUUCUUCUUUUUCUAUCCAUUUCAAGUUUUAACCAAACAGUGUUACGCACAGUAUUUUAAUUCUUAAUACAUCUAUAUAUCAGUAUAUAAACAUUCGAUAAUUUCAUUGCAUAAUAUGCUAUAACAAAAAGUUUAUAUAAUCAAGCAUACAUACUACAUAGUGUAUUGAGAUUAUUUAAACAUUUUCAUUCAUACUUUUUUUAUAAUAACUCAUAGCAUGAGUGAUGCAAAAUUAAAUAAGAACCUAAAUGAUUUCAAGUGAGUAAUGAAGAAUGAAAUUCGUCACCAAAAAUUUAAAGGAAAUCCAAAUUGGGGUGGGAGUCCUUUCUGUACAGAAACUUUGGGUGGAACAGUUAAUCAGAUAGGAUAGGGUUUUUGUAUUUGUGAAAAAAAAUUGAAUCUUUUUUUAGAUAUAAGAUAAUUAAUAAUAACAAAUAAAAAUAAUAAAUAAAUAAAUUAAAAAUAAUAUAAUAAUAGCUAAUUAAUUUUUACAUUUAAUAAAAUAUAAUAAAAGUUUAUAAAAUAUCC